rnacentral:tRNA from 1 species
GGGUUGAUAGCUUAAAAGGUAAAGCAUGUAGCUCAUAACUACAAAGUAUUUGGUUCGAUCCCAACUCAACCUA